CCUACGGGCGGCUGCAGUGGGGAAUAUUGCACAAUGGGCGCAAGCCUGAUGCAGCCAUGCCGCGUGUGUGAAGAAGGCCUUCGGGUUGUAAAGCACUUUCAGCGGGGAGGAAGGCGGUGAGGUUAAUAACCUCAUCGAUUGACGUUACCCGCAGAAGAAGCACCGGCUAACUCCGUGCCAGCAGCCGCGGUAAUACGGAGGGUGCAAGCGUUAAUCGGAAUUACUGGGCGUAAAGCGCACGCAGGCGGUCUGUCAAGUCGGAUGUGAAAUCCCCGGGCUCAACCUGGGAACUGCAUUCGAAACUGGCGGGCUAGAGUCUUGUAGAGGGGGGUAGAAUUCCAGGUGUAGCGGUGAAAUGCGUAGAGAUCUGGAGGAAUACCGGUGGCGAAGGCGGCCCCCUGGACAAAGACUGACGCUCAGGUGCGAAAGCGUGGGGAGCAAACAGGAUUAGAUACCCUAGUAGUC
rnacentral:rRNA from 1 species